CUAAAGAGUAACGGAGGCGCCCAAAGGUUCCCUCAGCCUGGUUGGCAAUCAGGUGUUGAGUGUAAGUGCACAAGGGAGCUUGACUGUGAGACCGACGGGUCGAGCAGGGACGAAAGUCGGGACUAGUGAUCCGGCAGUGGCUUGUGGAAGCGCUGUCGCUCAACGGAUAAAAGGUACCCCGGGGAUAACAGGCUGAUCUUCCCCAAGAGUCCAUAUCGACGGGAUGGUUUGGCACCUCGAUGUCGGCUCGUCGCAUCCUGGGGCUGGAGUCGGUCCCAAGGGUUGGGCUGUUCGCCCAUUAAAGCGGUACGCGAGCUGGGUUUAGAACGUCGUGAGACAGUUCGGUCCCUAUCCGCUGUGCGCGUAGGAAUAUUGAGAAGGGCUGUCCCUAGUACGAGAGGACCGGGACGGACGAACCUCUGGUGUGCCAGUUGUUCUGCCAAGGGCAUGGCUGGUUGGCUACGUUCGGAAAGGAUAACCGCUGAAAGCAUCUAAGCGGGAAGCCUGCUUCGAGAUGAGUGUUCCCACCACCUUGAGUGGUUAAGGCUCCCAGUAGACGACUGGGUUGAUAGGCCAGAUGUGGAAGCCCGGUAACGGGUGGAGCUGACUGGUACUAAUAGGCCGAGGGCUUGUCCUCAGUUG
rnacentral:rRNA from 1 species